UUGCUUCAGUAGCACAUAUACUAAAAUUGGAACGAUACAGAAAAGGUUAGCAUGUUCACUGUGCAAGGAUAACAUGCAAAUUUGUGAAGCAUUUCAUAUAAAG